rnacentral:rRNA from 1 species
AGCGGCGGACGGGUGAGUAACGCGUGGGUAACCUGCCCUAUACACACGGAUAACAUACCGAAAGGUAUGCUAAUACGAGAUAAUAUAAGAGAUUCACAUGGGUUUCUUAUCAAAGCUGAGGCGGUAUAGGAUGGACCCGCGUCUGAUUAGCUAGUUGGUAAGGUAACGGCUUACCAAGGCGACGAUCAGUAGCCGACCUGAGAGGGUGAUCGGCCACAUUGGAACUGAGACACGGUCCAAACUCCUACGGGAGGCAGCAGUGGGGAAUAUUGCACAAUGGGCGAAAGCCUGAUGCAGCAGCGCCGCGUGAGUGAUGAAGGCCUUCGGGUCGUAAAACUCUGUCCUCAAGGAAGAUAAUGACGGUACUUGAGGAGGAAGCCCCGGCUAACUACGUGCCAGCAGCCGCGGUAAUACGUAGGGGGCUAGCGUUAUCCGGAUUUACUGGGCGUAAAGGGUGCGUAGGUGGUCUCUUAAGUCAGGAGUGAAAGGCUACGGCUUAACCGUAGUAAGCUCUUGAAACUGGGAGACUUGAGUGCAGGGGAGGAAAGUGGAAUUCCUAGUGUAGCGGUGAAAUGCGUAGAUAUUAGGAGGAACACCAGUAGCGAAGGCGGCUUUCUGGACUGUAACUGACACUGAGGCACGAAAGCGUGGGAGCAAACAGGAUUAGAUACCCUGGUAGUCCACGCCGUAAACGAUGAGUACUAGGUGU